rnacentral:lncRNA from 1 species
AAUGACUUUGAAAAUCUUUGUUUUGACCACUCACACUUUCUAUCCUUGCACCCCUCCAGGUUCUAGUAGCAAGGUUCCGUAUCGACGAGGACUUGUGGCACUCCAAGUUCUGGUGGCUCCUUAUAAUGGUAUAAUUAUGAUCUUUGCUCACUGUACUUGUCUUAUGCUCUGUAUCACGCGUGAAAUGGGUCCAGACCCGCUCACCGCACACUUGUGUACUUAGAUACUUUUAUAAUUAAUUUAUUCACAUUUUAUACAUUAUCACACUUUAUGGCUUCGUCACUUUCCUGGUGUUGGCCAGCACGGCUCGAUUCGGGGUCCUAGUGGACAUUUCGGGUCGGGGUGUGUCAAACAUGUAUCGACACAAUUUAUUCUCAAAUUGAAACGUACUUAUGCUAAAUUAAAACGUAUUCAUACCGAAUUAAAAUUUAUGGUUACUAAAUUGAAAUGUACCUGUAUUGGCUUGAAACAUACAUAUAGGUUUUAGGAUUACACAUAACUUGCCGUUAGUUUUUUGCGUGCUAAAAUUAUGAUAAUAUAAACGUAUUAGUAGCUUGGUACAUAUCUAAACAAAAAUAAAUAACAUGUCAAAAUACUUAUUUUGUAAAUAAAUUUGGAUUACAUAAUGUACCGAUAAUGUACCAAAUUACUGGUACACUAAUUUUUUUU